GGGUGAGUAACACGUAUGCAACCUGCCCCUGUCAGGGGGACACCCCGCCGAAAGGCGGGCUAAACCCGCGUACAUGCCACCGGGGCAUCCCGGAGGCAGGAACGGCUUCGGCCGGACAGGGAUGGGCAUGCGGCGCAUUAGGCAGUAGGCGGGGUAACGGCCCACCUAACCGACGAUGCGUAGGGGUUCUGAGAGGAAGGUCCCCCACACUGGUACUGAGACACGGACCAGACUCCUACGGGAGGCAGCAGUGAGGAAUAUUGGUCAAUGGUCGGGAGACUGAACCAGCCAAGCCGCGUGAGGGAUGAAGGUACAGAGUAUCGUAAACCUCUUUUGUCAGGGAACAAAGGCGGGGACGUGUCCCCGGAUGAGUGUACCUGAAGAAAAAGCAUCGGCUAACUCCGUGCCAGCAGCCGCGGUAAUACGGAGGAUGCGAGCGUUAUCCGGAUUUAUUGGGUUUAAAGGGUGCGCAGGCGGUCUGUUAAGUCAGCGGUCAAAGCCCGGGGCUCAACCCCGGCCCGCCGUUGAAACUGGCAGUCUCGAGUUGGAGAGAAGUAUGCGGAAUGCGCGGUGUAGCGGUGAAAUGCAUAGAUAUCGCGCAGAACUCCGAUUGCGAAGGCAGCAUGCCGGCUCCACACUGACGCUGAGGCACGAAAGCGUGGGUAUCGAACAGGAUUAGAUACCCUGGUAGUCCACGCAGUAA
rnacentral:rRNA from 1 species